rnacentral:tRNA from 1 species
UCUAUUUUGGCAGAUAAAUGCAUUGAAUUUAGAUUUCAUGAAUAUAUAAUUAUUAUAUAAAUAGAA